AGAAAUUUUACUUAGAUGAUGAUGUGUGUGCGAUCAUGGUUUGCUACCUAGACAAUUUGAAAUCUUUCCGAACUUUUAAUAAACUCAAAGACAUUUUUGAAAAUGGUUUGGUUUUGCUCUAGAGAAAGAAGACAACUACCCGAGGUAAGUAGUUCUAUGUUAAUUUUACAAUCAUUUGGAAGCCAGCGCAGACUUUCAAACAUUUUAUUUCGUAUGUCUGAAUAUAAUAUACAUUUAAAAAAGAAAUGAUAGGAAUCUUCACGAUUAACACCACAGCGGCAAGAAGGGU
rnacentral:lncRNA from 1 species